rnacentral:rRNA from 3 species
UACGUAGGGACCAAGCGUUGUUCGGAUUUACUGGGCGUAAAGGGCGCGUAGGCGGCAAUUCAAGUCAGCUGUGAAAUCUCUGGGCUUAACCCAGAACGGCCAGCUGAUACUGCUUUGCUAGAGUGCAGAAGGGGCAAUCGGAAUUCUUGGUGUAGCGGUGAAAUGCGUAGAUAUCAAGAGGAACACCUGAGGUGAAGACGGGUUGCUGGGCUGACACUGACGCUGAGGCGCGAAAGCCAGGGGAGCAAACGGG